GUGGACGCCAGUCUGCGUGGAGCCGACCUUGAAAUACCACCCUUUAAUGUUUGAUGUUCUAACGUGGACCCGUAAUCCGGGUUGCGGACAGUGUCUGGUGGGUAGUUUGACUGGGGCGGUCUCCUCCUAAAGAGUAACGGAGGAGCACGAAGGUUGGCUAAUCCUGGUCGGACAUCAGGAGGUUAGUGCAAUGGCAUAAGCCAGCUUGACUGCGAGCGUGACGGCGCGAGCAGGUGCGAAAGCAGGUCAUAGUGAUCCGGUGGUUCUGAAUGGAAGGGCCAUCGCUCAACGGAUAAAAGGUACUCCGGGGAUAACAGGCUGAUACCGCCCAAGAGUUCAUAUCGACGGCGGUGUUUGGCACCUCGAUGUCGGCUCAUCACAUCCUGGGGCUGAAGUAGGUCCCAAGGGUAUGGCUGUUCGCCAUUUAAAGUGGUACGCGAGCUGGGUUUAGAACGUCGUGAGACAGUUCGGUCCCUAUCUGCCGUG
rnacentral:rRNA from 1 species